rnacentral:rRNA from 1 species
UGGGGAAUAUUGGACAAUGGAGGCAACUCUGAUCCAGCCAUGCCGCGUGAGUGAUGAAGGCCUUCGGGUUGUAAAGCUCUUUGAGCGGGGACAAUAAUGAUGGUACCCGCAGAACAAGCCCCGGCUAACUCUGUGCCAGCAGCCGCGGUAAUACAGAGGGGGCUAGCGUUGUUCGGAAUUACUGGGCGUAAAGCGUGCGUAGGCGGAUAUUCAAGUCAGGCGUGAAAUCCUGGGGCUUAACCUCAGAAUUGCGCUUGAAACUAGAUAUCUUGAGAACGAGAGAGGAUAGUAGAAUUCCUAGUGUAGGAGUGAAAUCCGUAGAUAUUAGGAGGAAUACCAGUGGCGAAGGCGGCUAUCUGGCUCGUUUCUGACGCUGAGGCACGAAAGCGUGGGUAGCAAA